UUUAACCAGGUUUUCCGAAGGAAAAAACUGGUUAUUAGAUUGGCGAAUGCGGGCGGGCUGGCUGGCUGGCGGGCUGGCUGGCUGGCGGGCUGGCGGAAUAAGCUUGUCCCGGCCAUAACUAUGUCGUUCAUUGUCAGAUUUUAAAAUCAUUUGGCACAUUUGUUCACCAUCAUUGGACGGUGUGUCGCGCGAAAUAAUUACGUCGAUAUCUCCAAGGUCAAGGUCACACUUUGAGUUCAAAGGUCAAAAAUGGCCAUAAAUGAGCUUGUCCGAGCCAUAACUAUGUCGUUCAUCGUCAGAUUUUAAAAUCAUUUGGCACAUUUGUUCACCAUCAUUGGACGGUGUGUCGCGCGAAAUAAUUACGUCGAUAUCUCCAAGGUCAAGGUCACACUUUGAGUUCAAAGGUCAAAAAUGGCCAUAAAUGAGCUUGUCCUGGCCAUAACUAUGUCAUUCAUUGUGAGAUUUUAAAAUCAUUUGGCACAUUUGUUCACCAUCAUGGGACGGUGUGUCCCACGAAAGAAUCACGUCAAUAUCUCCAAUGUCAAGGUCGCCACGACUAAAAAUAGAUUUAAAAAAAAAAAAAAAAACUUACAAAGGGGGUUAAUUUUUUUUGGUCAUUUCAAAA